rnacentral:misc_RNA from 1 species
GAUGAAGAACGUAGCAAAAUGCGAUAAGUAAUGUGAAUUGCAGAAUUCAGUGAAUCAUCGAAUCUUUGAACGCACAUUGCGCCCGCUGGUAUUCCGGCGGGCAUGCCUGUUCGAGCGUCAUUUCAACCCUCAAGCCCCCGGGUUUGGUGUUGGGGAUCGGCUCUGCCCUUCUGGGCGGUGCCGCCCCCGAAAUACAUUGGCGGUCUCGCUGCAGCCUCCAUUGCGUAGUAGCUAACACCUCGCAACUGGAACGCGGCGCGGCCAUGCCGUAAAACCCCAACUUCUGAAUGUUGACCUCGGAUCAGGAAGGAAUACCCGCUGAACUUAAGCAUAUCAAUAAGCGGAGGA